UGGGCUUCCCUGGUGGCGCAGUGGUUGAGAGUCCGCCUGCCGAUGCAGGGGACACGGGUUCAUGACCCGGUCCGGGAAGAUCCCACAUGCCGCGGAGUGGCUGGGCCCGUGAGCCAUGGCCGCUGAGCCUGCACGUCCGGAGCCUGUGCUCCGCAAUGGGAGAGGCCACAGCAGUGAGAGGCCCGCGUACCGCAAAAAAAAAAAAAAAAAAAAAAAGAUAUAGAGGCAUGAAAAAAAUACAGUGACAGGGAAGCAACAGGUAUUUCAGUAUGACAGGAAUAAAAUUGGUGGGAUUCUAGUAGGAAAUAAAGUUGGAGAAAUAGAAAGGGGUCAUAUCAUCAAAGACCUUGUGUAUAAUACUAAUUUUUUUUUACUUUAUUCCGAAGUAACGAGGAGCAAUUGAAUACGUUUUUCUUUUUAAAUGAACUUUAUUAAGGUACAUUUAAAAUACAAUAAGACACACCCAUUUUAUUUUUUUCUUCCGUUUUAUUGAGAUACAAUUGACAUGCAGCACUGUAAAAAUUUGAGGUGUAUAGCAUAAUGAUUUGACUUACAUACAUCAGAAAAUGAUUAUCACAAUAAAUUUAGUGAACAUCCAUCAUCUCAUAUAGUUACUAAAGAAACAGAAAUAAAAAAGUUUUCCCUGUUACGAGAACCCUUAGGAUUUACCGUCUUCACAGUGUUCAUAUAUAACAUACAACAGUGUUCAUUAUAUUUAUCAUGUUGUACAUUACAUCCCUAGUACUUAUUUAUCUUAGAACUGGAAGUUUGUACCUUUUGACUGCCUUCAUCCAAUCCCCCCUCCCACCAUCCCCACCUCUGGUAACCACAAAUCUGAACUCUCUUUUUUAUUUUUAAUUUAAUUUAAUUAAUUAAUUUAUUUAUUUUUGGCCGCCUGGCUUACGGGAUCUCAGUUUUCUGACUAGAGAUUGAACCCUGGGCCAUGGCAGUGAAAGCCCAGAAUCCUAACCACUAGGCCACCAGGGAACUCCCUGAUGUCUUUUUCAAUGAGUUUGUUUGUUUGUUUGUUUCUGAAGCAUAAUUGACCUAUAACACUAUGUUACUUCCUUUUACGCAGCACAGUGAUUUGGCAUUUCUACACAUUUCAAAAUGAUCAGCACAAUAAGUCUAGUUACAGUAUGUCACCAUACAAAGAUAUUACAUGGUUAUUGACCAUAUUCCCCACACUGUACAUUUCAUACGCGUGACUCAUUUGUUGUGCACCUGGAAGUUUCUACCUCUUAAUCUCCCUCACCUAUUUCUUUCUUCCCCCAACCCCCUCCCUUCGGGCAACCAUCUGUUUGUAUUCUGUAUCUAUAACUCUGUUUUUGUUUUGUUAUGCUUGUUUAUUUGUUUUUUAGAUUCCACAGAUAAGUGAAACCAUACAGUAUUUGUCUUUCUCUGUCUGACUUAUUUUACCUAGCAUAAUACCUUCUAGGUUCAUUCAUGUCACAAAUGGCAAGGUUUCAUUCUUUUUAUAUAAUAUUUCAUUAUAUAUCUUUAUCCAUUCAUCUAUUGAUGGGCAUUUGGCCUAGUGUGUGAUCUAUCCUGGAGAAUGUUCCAUGUAUAUUUGAAAAGAAUGUGUAUUCUGUUACUUUAGGAUAGAACGUUCUAUUAAUAUUAAGCCAUUUUGUUUUAAUGUGUCAUUUAAGUCCUGUGUUUCUUUGUUGCUUUUCUGUCUGGAUGACCUAUCCAUUGAUGUAAGUGGGGUGUUAAAGACCCCUACUAUUAUCGUAUUACUGUCAGUUUCUCCCUUUAUGUCUGUUCAUAUUUGUUUUAUGUAUUUAGGUGAUCCUAUGUUGGGUGCUUGUAUGUUUACAAUUGUUAUACCUUCUUUCUGGAUUGAUCCUUUAAUCAUUAUGUAAUGUCUUUGUCUCUCUUUACAGUCUUUGUUUUAAAGUCUAUUUUGUCUGACAUAAGUAUUGCUAACCUGGUUUUCUUUUAAUUUCUAUUUGCAUGGAAUACCUUUUUCCAUCCUCUUACUUUCAGGCUGUGUGUCUUUAGAUCUGAAGUGAGUGUCUCGUUGGCAGCAUGUAUAUGGGUCUCGCUUUUGUAUCCAUUCAGCCACUCUGUGUCUUUUGAUUGGAGCAUAUAGGCCAUUUACAUUUAAAGGAAUUAUUGAUAGGUAUGCACUUAUUGCCAUUUUGUUAAUUGUUUUGGGGAUGAUUUUCUUCUUUUGUUCUCUUCCCUUGUGAUUUGAAGACUACCUUUAGUGUUAUGUUUGGAUUCCUUUCUUUAUUCUGUGUGUAUAUCUACUACAGAUUUUUGCUUUGUGGUUACUGUAAGGUUUAUGUAUAGCCAUAUAUAUGAUUAUUUUAAGUUGCUGAUCUCUUAAGUUCAAAUAUCUUUUGAUAAUCCUGCAUUUUUAUACCCCUGCUCCCACUCCACAUUUACGGUUUCUGACAUAUUUUCCAUCUUUUUGUUUUGUGUAUCCCUUAACUACUUACUGUGGAUGUAGAUGAUUUCACUACUUUUGUCUUUUAACCUUCCUACUAGCUUUAAACAUGGUUGAUUCACUACUUAACUGUAUAUUUGCCUUUACCAUUGAGCUUUUUCCUUUUGUAAUUUUCAUGUUUCUAUUUGUGGCCUUUUCUUUUCGCUUAGAGAAGUCCCUUUAACAUUUCUUGUAAAGUGGUGGUGCUGAACUCUUUUAUCUUUUGCUUGUCUGUAAAACUUUUGGUCGCUCCAUCAGAUCUGAAUGAAAGCCUUGCUGAGUAGAGCAUCCUUGGUUGCAGGUUUUUCCCUUUCUAAAAUACACCCAUUUUAAGUGUGUAGUUUGGUGAGUUUUGACAGACAUAUAUACCUGUGUAACUACUGCCCCAAUAAAGAUAAUAGUACAUUUUUCCAUCCACCCCAAAAGCUUCCUGUGCUCCUCUGCAGUGCCCUCCUCCAUUCCCAGCUCGAGGUAGCCACUUAUCUGUUUUCAGUCAUAAUAGAUUAAUUCUGCCUAUGCUAAAAUUUCAUAUUGAUAGAAUCAUACAGUAUGCUCUCUUUUAUCUCAGUAUGUCUUUGAAAUUCAUCCAUGUUCUUGGGUGUAUCAAAAGUUCCUUCCUUUUUAUUGCUAGGUAGUAUUCCAUUGUAUGAGUAUAUCACAGUUUGUUUAUCCAUUCAUCUGUUGACAGGUAUUUGGGUUUCCGGUUUUGAACUAUUGUAAGGUUGCUAUAAUCAUUCAUGUACAAAUCUUUUUGUAGACAUGAGUUUCUAGUUCUCUUGGGUAAAUAACCAUACAAAUAUAUGAUAAGCACAUGAAAAGAUGUUUAGCGUCAUUAAUCAUAAAGAAAUGUAAAUUAAAACCACAACAGGAUACUAGUAAAUACCUGUUAGCUUGCCUAAAAUUAAAAGACUGACCAUAACAAGUGCUGACGAAGAUGUGGAGGAACUGGACCUCUCAGACACUGCUGACGUGAAAAUAAAAUGGUCCAUCCACUUUGGAAAAUGGUCUGGCCGUUUCUUAUAUACAUGAACAUUAACUAAGCAGUCCCACCCCUGAGUUUUUAACCAUUGAAUCAUUUUAAGCAGGGUAGCAAUAUGAAGAGAUUUUAUGUUUAAAGGAAUACUCUAAUGGCAUUAAGGAUAAUAGAUUCUGUAUGUUUAAAUAGUCUUCACAAACAUUAAUUUUUAUUGAUGAAAAAUCGUCUGUCAUGUUUUAAUACUAUACGUGGGUAAUCAUUUCCUUAGUGUGAAUAGUUAGGUAACAUUAAAUAUUUCAUUACUGACUAUAAUUCCUAAUAAACGUAAGUGUUGUUUCUGCUGAAUUCAUUCCUUAAAAUGAGCUCCUAGGAUCAGAAUCACUGAGUCAAUAUUCUUAAAAAUCUUUAUGCUUUUUGCUGCUAAGUGACAUUCUGACUGACUAAGGAUUAUACCAGUCAACAACAGGUUAUAUAUUACUAGUUAUUUUUCAUAGAUCAGGAAAGAGAAGCUCAGAUAGAUUAUGUGAAUUAGCUAACAUAGGUGGAAAAAGGUACACCAGUAUUUUGAGCCUGUGUCCUUGAUCCCUCCCUAGUCUUGGGUUUCCUUAUUUUUCUGUUCACACUUGUGCUAACUCAGAACUUUAUCUGGAGAACCCCUGUUCUGUGCCGUAGACGCCUCUAGCGUUAGGAGUACAAUGAAAACGCAUAGUUCCUGUUUCCACAGAGCUUGUGGGUUAGUGACAUUUCCAGAUUCCUUCCUCUCUAUCUGGAGAAAAUCUCGAGCUAACAGACUGAACGACAAAAGGAGAAAGAGAAAAAGUGUUCAAGUCAUAUGAUGGGUCACAGCUCAGGUACUCAUUUUUGACCCAGCUUCCAGGACCAUGUCAAGAGACACGAGGGAAUUGCAUCUUCUGUUGUGCCAUUACUUGGUUGGGCCAGUCACGUGGGUGGAGGUCUGGAAUGAAGAAACCCACCUCAGUGGGGAUUAACUACAGAUAUUCAGCGUGAGUUUAAGAAGGAGAGAGUAUACAGAAGCACUCAGUGGGGGGAAUGACAGGUUGCAGCAAUAAUGGGGGAGUCUGACAGAGGCAUCUGAAUUGAGUGCAUUUUAUUGUGAAUGACUCACAUUUCUUGAGUUCUUUCUGCGUGGUUGGCAUUGUUCUAGGUACUGGAAGAAAGUAGAAGUGAAAAGCUCUGGGGGCUGGAGAUCAAGACGUUCCAGGAAACGUCUGGCACAAAGCAAUGCAGGUGAGGUAGGAGGCGGAGUGCAGAGGUGGUGGUGUUUCAUUUACGUGUGCUCCAGCUCCCUCCCUCCCUCCUUCUGGGGGCCCCUUUUCUAUGUCCUCUCCCAACAUGCACCCCCUGGGCCUCCAGACACCAAGCGAGCACUGCUGUGUUAUCCCAGCCCUUUGCAGAGGCACCUUGCCCAGGCCUGCACACCUACUUUGGGAUCGAACCACAGAUGCCUACAGAUAUCAGCCAGGUCAACCUAGUGAGUAAAGAAAGAUGUCGUGGGGAGCCAGUGGUAGGGGCUGCAGAGAACUGGACAGCUUCUUGUCCAUCUCAACAGGGCAGCUACUGCUUCAGGUGACUGAAGCCAGUCAUACUAAUGAAACAGGGCAUCGCAAGAUGGCCCAAGGUUCCAGGAGUAUGGGAAAACCAGUUUUCAUCUGAAAUUUUAUUAUGUUUAAAUAUUGGAAAUCCAGUUAAUUUAACCUUUUGUGUUACAGUUUACAUUGGCCAAAAUAGACUGGAUUCCACUGGGAGCCUCUCGUCUGCGCUUCUGUCCUAGAAUGCAACAAAAUAACGCCAGAAAACUGUGGACCACAUAGAACACAAGUGUCAAUCACAGGCCAUUCUGCUUGGAGUUCUGGAGGCUAGAAGUCUGAAAUUAGGGCAAGGUUGGUUCCUCCUGGAGGGUCUGAGGGAGAAUCUCUUCUGUGCCGCUCUCCUGACUUCUGGUGGCUCCUGGCAAUCCUUGGUGUUCCUUGACUUGUAGCUGCAUCACUUCGAUCUCUGUCUACACCUUCACAAGACCUUUUUAUCUCUGUGUGUCUGAUCAAAGAUGCCUGUAUGAAACAUUGGAAUCCUUCAUACACAGCAAAAGCCUAAAUAAAAUGUAUUUUUGUACCA